rnacentral:rRNA from 1 species
GUGUCAGCAGCCGCGGUAAUACGGAGGGUGCAAGCGUUGUCCGGAUUCAUUGGGUUUAAAGGGUGCGUAGGCGGCCUGGUAAGUCAGCGGUGAAAUACCCACGCUCAACGUGGGAACUGCCGUUGAUACUGCCGGGCUUGAGUUCGUCCGAGGUCGCUGGAAUGCGUGGUGUAGCGGUGAAAUGCAUAGAUAUCACGCAGAACACCGAUUGCGAAGGCAGGUGACUGGGACGCGACUGACGCUGAGGCACGAAAGUGUGGGGAGCAAACAGGAUUAGAAACCCUGGUAGUCC